GAACUUAUUUGGCAUGAGAGAUACCAUGAUCAACAGUUUUUCCUAGGGUGAGGUCUAUCCAUUGCACUCAGGGCAGGCCGACUUCUGUGAGUUUCCCAAAUGCAGAAAACUGCAUUUGUACUUUCC
rnacentral:snRNA from 12 species